GCGGAUAUGGUGAAAUUGGCAGACACGCAAGAUUUAGGAUCUUGUGCCGAAAAGCGUGCAGGUUCAAGUCCUGUUAUCCGCA
rnacentral:tRNA from 1 species